UACGAAGGGGGCUAGCGUUGCUCGGAAUCACUGGGCGUAAAGCGCACGUAGGCGGUUCUUUAAGUCAGGGGUGAAAUCCUGGAGCUCAACUCCAGAACUGCCUUUGAUACUGGGGAUCUCGAGUCCGGAAGAGGUGAGUGGAACUCCGAGUGUAGAGGUGAAAUUCGUAGAUAUUCGGAAGAACACCAGUGGCGAAGGCGGCUCACUGGUCCGGUACUGACGCUCAGGUGCGAAAGCGUGGGGAGCAAACAGG
rnacentral:rRNA from 1 species